rnacentral:rRNA from 1 species
GACAACGCUGGCUGCAUCGCUUACUUUUUACCACCGAGUAGUCUUCGCUCCACCGAGAAGAGAGGAGUGGCGAACGGGAGAGUAACACGUGGGUCCCCUGCCCAUCAGAGGGGGAUCACUCUUGGAAACGGGUGCUAAUACCGUAUAACACUCGAAACCGCGGGGUUUUGAUUUGAAGGGCGCUUUCGGGUGUCUCUGAUGGAUGGACCCGCGGUGCAUUAUCUAGGUGGUGAGGUAACGGCUCACCGGGGCCACGAUGCAUACCCGACGUGAGAGGGUGAUCGGCCACUUUGGGACUGACACACGGCCCACACUCCUAGGGGAGGCAGCAGUAGGGAAUCUUCGGCAAUGGAAGAAAGUCUGACCGAGCAACGCCGCGUGAGUGAAGAAUGUUUUCAGAUCAUAAAACUCUGUUGUUAGAAAAAAACAAAGAAGAGAGUAACUGUUCCUCCCGUGACGGUAUCUAACCAGAACGCCACGGCUAACUACGUGCCAGCAGCCGCGGUAAUACGUAUGUGGCAAGCGUUGUCCGUAUUUAGUGGGCGUAAAGCGAGCGCAGGCUUUUUCUUAUGUCUGAUGUGAACCCCCCCGGCUCAACCGGGGAGGGUCAUUGGACACUGAGAGACUUGAGUGCAGAAGAGGAGAGUGCAUUUCCGUGUGUAGCGGUGAAGUGCAUAUAUAUGUGGGAAGAACACCUGUGGCGAACGCGUCUCUCUGCUCUGUAACUGACUCUGACGCUCGAAAGCGUGGAGAGCAACAAGAUUAUAUACCCUGCUACUCCACGCCAUAGACGAUGAGUGAUAGUGUAGGAGGGUCU